UAAGGUGACUAUAGCGGCGGGGCUCCACCUCUUCCCAUUCCGAACAGAGAAGUUAAACCCGUCAGCGCCGAUGGUACUGCUAAUUGUGGGAGAGUAGGUAGUCGCCAAAC
rnacentral:rRNA from 1 species